rnacentral:rRNA from 1 species
UACGUAGGGGGCAAGCGUUGUCCGGAAUUAUUGGGCGUAAAGAGCUCGUAGGCGGCUUGUCACGUCGGGUGUGAAAGCCCGGGGCUUAACCCCGGGUCUGCAUUCGAUACGGGCUAGCUAGAGUGUGGUAGGGGAGAUCGGAAUUCCUGGUGUAGCGGUGAAAUGCGCAGAUAUCAGGAGGAACACCGGUGGCGAGGGCGGAUCUCUGGGCCAUUACUGACGCUGAGGAGCGAAAGCGUGGGGAGCGAACAGG